UACGGAGGGUGCAAGCGUUAAUCGGAAUUACUGGGCGUAAAGCGUGCGUAGGCGGUUCGUUAAGUUCGUUGUGAAAGCCCCGGGCUCAACCUGGGAAUGGCAAUGGAAACUGGCGGGCUGGAGUAUGGCAGAGGGGGGUGGAAUUCCGCGUGUAGCAGUGAAAUGCGUAGAGAUGCGGAGGAACACCGAUGGCGAAGGCAGCCCCCUGGGCCAAUACUGACGCUCAGGCACGAAAGCGUGGGGAGCAAACAGG
rnacentral:rRNA from 1 species